UAGCUUACCUUUACAUUAGUUCACACCUUACCGACCCAGAGGAGCCUCAAAAGUAACUCCACAAAGUUUUAUGUUUUAGAGAUUUCAACAGAGGUCAUGAUGCUUUAGUUCCUGUCUUUCUCUCUCC